GAUGAAGAACGUAGCGAAAUGCGAUAAGUAAUGUGAAUUGCAGAAUUCAGUGAAUCAUCGAAUCUUUGAACGCACAUUGCGCCCGGUAGUAUUCUGCCGGGCAUGCCUGUUCGUGCGUCAUUUCAACCAUCAAGCCCCAGCGCUUGUGUUGGGGGCCUGCGGCUGCCGCAGCCCCCUAAAAGCAGUGGCGGGCUCGCUAUCACACCGAGUGCAGUAGUUCAUCUUCUCUCCGGUCUUGUGAGGCGGGUUCCGGCCGUGAAACACCCCACUACAUUCAAGGUUGACCUCGGAUCAGGUAGGAAUACCCGCUGAACUUAAGCAUAUCAAUAAGCGGAGGA
rnacentral:misc_RNA from 1 species